GUACUCACUUCAACAAUACAUAUACUAAAAUUUGAAUAAUACAGAGAAGAUUAGCAUGGCCCCUGCUCAAGGAUAAUAUGAAAAUUAUAUUAUAUUAUAAUAUAUAU